rnacentral:rRNA from 1 species
AUUGAACGCUUGCGGCCUGCCUUACCCAUGCAAGUCGAACGAGUGGCGAACGGGUGAGUAAUAUAUCGGAACGUACCGAGUAAUGGGGGCUAACCAAUAGAAAGAUUGGCUAAUACCGCCUAUUAUUCGCGCGGCCGAUAACGGAUUGGCUUGCUGGUGGGGUAAAGGCAUACCACGGCCACGAUCAGUAGCGGGUCUGAGCGGACGAUCCGCACAACUGGGACUGAGAAAGGGCCCAGACUCCUACGGGGGGCAGCAGUGGGGAAUUUUGGACAAGGGGGGCAAUCCUGAUCCAGCCAUGCGGCGUGUAUGCAGAAGGCCUUCGGGUUUUAAAGUACUUUUGUUAGGGAAGCGGUACCUAAAGAAUAAGCACCGGCUAACUACGUGCCAGCAGCCGCGGUAAUUC